AAGACUAUACUUUCAGGGAUCAUUUCUAUAGUUUGUUAUUCAAAGAGUAAGCUGCAUGGAAAUUUGGGAGAAAAGGAAAUAAACAAUAUAGAAACUGGGAUGGGGAGAAGAUAUGUUCCUUGGAGAGGGAUCAGG
rnacentral:snoRNA from 1 species